AUUGAACGCUGGCGGCAGGCCUAACACAUGCAAGUCGAGCGGAGCGGCGGACGGGUGAGUAAUGCCUAGGAAUCUGCCUGGUCGUGGGGGAUAACGUCCGGAAACGGGCGCUAAUACCGCAUCCUUUCAGAUGCGCCUAGGUCGGAUUAGCUCGUGGUGGGGGUAAAGGCCUACCAAGGCGCCGAUCCGUAACUGGUCUGAGAGGAUGAUCAGUAACACGGGAACUGAGACACGGUCCAGACUCCUACGGGAGGCAGCAGUGGGGAAUAUUGGACAAUGGGCGAAAGCCUGAGCCAGCCAUGCCGCGUGUGUGAAGAAGGUCUUCGGAUUGUAAAGCACUUUAAGUUGGGAGGCGUUACCAACAGAAUAAGCACCGGCUAACUUCGUGCCAGCAGCCGCGGUAAUAC
rnacentral:rRNA from 1 species